GUGUGAGAGAAGGUGAGUGUGUGUGUGUCAGUGGUUUGUGGGUGUAGACAGGUAUAGUAGUGCCAAAAAUGUGUGUGUGUGUGUGUGUGUGUGUGUGUGUGUGUGUGUGUGUGUGUGUGUGUGUGUGUGUGUGUG